UACGGAGGGUGCGAGCGUUAUCCGGAAUUACUGGGUUUAAAGGGUGCGUAGGCGGCUAUGUAAGUCAGGAGUGAAAGUUUGCGGCUCAACCGUAAAAUUGCUUUUGAUACUGCAUGGCUGGAAUCAGGAUGAGGUCAGCGGAAUGUGGCAUGUAGCGGUGAAAUGCAUAGAUAUGCCAUAGAACACCAAUUGCGAAGGCAGCUGACUAGACCUGUAUUGACGCUGAGGCACGAAAGCGUGGGGAGCGAACAGG
rnacentral:rRNA from 1 species